UUUAUUUCCUGUCAUAUGAUUACUGCAACCACUAUCCAAGUACCAAAUAUCCUUCACAUUUAGUUUAGCACUAAAGUAAGAAUAGAAAACAUUAUCUCCUUCAGUAAAAUUAGCUUCGUUAUUUUUAUUGUACCAACAGCCUUUUUGGGAAUGAUUAGCAUUUUUGCAUUUUAAACACUUAAAUCUGCAACUCUGAGUAUUAUGAUUAGACUUU
rnacentral:lncRNA from 1 species